rnacentral:rRNA from 1 species
UGCAGUCGAACGGGCACCUUCGGGUGUCAGUGGCAGACGGGUGAGUAACACGUGGGAACGUACCCUUCGGUUCGGAAUAACUCAGGGAAACUUGAGCUAAUACCGGAUACGCCCUUUUGGGGAAAGGUUUACUGCCGAAGGAUCGGCCCGCGUCUGAUUAGCUUGUUGGUGGGGUAACGGCCUACCAAGGCGACGAUCAGUAGCUGGUCUGAGAGGAUGAUCAGCCACACUGGGACUGAGACACGGCCCAGACUCCUACGGGAGGCAGCAGUGGGGAAUAUUGGACAAUGGGCGCAAGCCUGAUCCAGCCAUGCCGCGUGAGUGAUGAAGGCCUUAGGGUUGUAAAGCUCUUUUGUCCGGGACGAUAAUGACGGUACCGGAAGAAUAAGCCCCGGCUAACUUCGUGCCAGCAGCCGCGGUAAUACGAAGGGGGCUAGCGUUGCUCGGAAUCACUGGGCGUAAAGGGCGCGUAGGCGGCCGAUUAAGUCGGGGGUGAAAGCCUGUGGCUCAACCACAGAAUUGCCUUCGAUACUGGUUGGCUUGAGACCGGAAGAGGACAGCGGAACUGCGAGUGUAGAGGUGAAAUUCGU